AGGGUGUAAACGCUGCAGACUUGGUGUUGGAGGCCCUUUGGGGGCAUUCAGUGCCGGAGAGAAGUUGUUAAGUCUGCUACUUGGGGAGUACGUCCGCAAGGAUGAAACUUAAAGGAAUUGGCGGGGGAGCACCGCAACGGGAGGAGCGUGCGGUUUAAUUGGAUUCAACACCGUAAAACUCACCAGGGAAGACUGUUACAUGAAGGCCGAGAUGAAGACUCUGCUAGAUUUUCAGAGAGGUGGUGCAUGGCGUCAGUG
rnacentral:rRNA from 1 species